GAAAACUGAGGUUUCCUACUACUAGCAGUUGUAAUCAAUAAGGUAAAGAUAAUUAAAACUCAAAACCAAAGUUCAAAUGUUCAAUUACAACCCAAAAACUUAGCCAGUAAAAAUAGAACAGAAAUAAAACCAAUUAUCGUAAAUAUGGAUUAAAAACCAUGAAAGUCUAAAACCGUGGUCACCGUCAAGUCCUCCUCUGCAUCGAUCCGUCUAGAUCUGGGGAUUACCUGUGCACAUUUAAACAAAAUGGGUGAGUUUACGAAAACUCAGUGUGUAAUGCCACAGAAAACAAACAAUAGCAAAUCAUAGUGCAUAGUUAAAACAGUCCUAGGCCUAAGCCCUUUUUCAGUAUCAGUAACAAUUUGGGCCUUAGCCCAUCUCAGUACAGUAUCAAAUAUGCAGUAGGGUCUUAGCCAAUCACAGUAUCAGUAACAGUCAUACAGUAUUCAGUAACAAAGUCCUACCCAACCAGCCUCUACACACCAUCUCCGUCCAACCCUACACUCCAUGUGGGGAUCAAAUCAACCCACCUAUCCCUACACUGCAGGUAGUACCGAAUGCGGCACAAAACAGUAAUUUGUAGUUGAGUUGCCAAUAUGUUAGGCUUAAGAGCCUUUCAGUACACUUCCUCCCAAUAUAAUUAACCCAACCCCAUGCAAUGCAACAUAAAAGUCAUGACAGGCUAUCUCAGGACAUCAGUACAUAUAACCAGUUCAGUAUACAAGCAUACUAUCACCAUGCUCAACACAUAUAUAAAUCAAACAGUCAGUUUGUAUAAUUAGGGGUCUAAGUGUUGCUUACUCACCCUACAGUAGGUUCACAGUCGACUUGGACGACCCAUGCAACCUCAGUAACCAAUUCAGUGAAAAUGGGUCCACACGCCCAUGUGGUCUGCCCGUGUGGCCCAUUCAGCCCAAAUUGGCCUUGGCCGCGUGGUCCAUUUUUAAUGUAACCCGUGCUAGCUAAAUAUCCAUAUAUGUUUUCACUUUUUACUUAUAUGUUCCUUCAAAGCUAUCUACUUGAGUCACUGUUACUAAAUUAUUUAUAUCUUGAGCUACAGAAUUCUGAAUUAAGAUCUAUUUGAUGUCUUUGAAACUAGACUCAAAUAAAUUUCUACCAUAAAAUUUUUAGAAUUUUUGGUUCAGCCAAUAAGUACAGUAAAAUCUUCAAUCUUACCCAUGUUCUGCUGUCUGACAGCUUCGACCUUUCUUUGCUAAAAAUUAAUUAUCUCUUAGUACAAAAUUUCAAUGAUAUUGCCAUUUGUUUCUAUUGAAAAUAUACUUAUUAAUAAUUUAAACAUGUAAAUUUUAACCCCUAAUUAUUUUUCUCCAAUUUUUGAUGAUUUUCCAAAGUUAGAAAAGGGGAACCCGAAUUCAUUCUAACCUUAUCUCACAAAACUUAUUAUAUCUCACGAUUUACAAUUUCAUUACUUACACAGUUUCUUCUAUGAGAAACUAGACUCAAUAAGAUUUAAUUUCAUAUUCUUUUCAUCCUCUAAUUCGAUUUCCACAAUUUAUGGUGAUUUUUCAAAUUUAGUCUACUACUGUUGUGCAAACAGCAAGAAAUUUCGGCUUUUCGUCGAAUCUCGUUUUCUGCGUUUUGGGUACACACCUCAUUUCCUUUGAUGCUAAAACAUUCUCCAAGCACUCCAGAUCCUAUAAUUGAACAAAUAACACUAAUUUAAUCUCACAUAAUGUGAUCCCAAAUUGAACUCGUAUCGAGGUUUUAACCCAUAAGCGACUAAACCUUACCUUCAACCGAUGAACAGUAAUUCCCACAUAAACUAAGACUCCGAUUGGUGAUUAUGAUCCCUUGAAUCCUCCCCGAACGAUUGCAGACAAACGUGGAGCAACAUGAGGCAGAGUGGGAAAAGAAAAAUCAAGAAGAUGAAGGGUGAAAGAAAGCAGAAAUUCGGCAGCAAUGAAAAGAAAAACGGCAAGAGGGUAGAGGGAUUUUAGGCGAAGUAAAAAAAAGAAAAAAAUAUUUGAUAAUCACCCUAAUUCCUUAUUUCUCUCCAUCAAACUCCCCACUAAAUCCACUACUCAAAUUUUUAGUCCAUCUUAAACUCUCCUGGACGCACGAGCAAAAAUAAUGCCCACGCCAAGAUUUGAACACAGGUCCUCCUUCACACCAACAUUCCACUUAUCCACCAGACCAAUAGGCCCAUUCUGUUAAUUAUUUUCCAAAUUUUAAUUAAAAUCCUACUGACCAAAGAUAAGGAUUAUUCAAAAAAAUACCAUAAUUUUCCCAAGUCUUGGCUUGAACUUAGGACCUCCCAAACAUACCCGGAACACAUAACCACUAAAGCAGCAGACAAAUAUUUUGUGUCACACAUUCACAAUACCCAAAAUUAAAAUUUUAGGGCAUUACAAUAUUAAAAAGAAAAGUGUAAUUUAUUUGUAAUGUUGUUUGAAAACAUUUAAGAAAUAGAAGAUCUUAAAUUAUAAUUAUAAAAAUGAUUUUUAUAAAGAAGCUCGCAGUAGAUUUUCAUAAAAAUUAUUUGGAAAAUUUACAAAUUUUUAUUUCAUCUAAAAUUUAACAAAACAUGAUUAAUUUAGAAAAAUGAAAUUAUCAAAAAUAUUUAAAAUCCCAUAAUUUUGCAUGCAUGUAUAAUAGUUUUAAUGUCAUAAAAAUAUAAAUCACAAACCAAAAAUAAAGGUAAAGUCCAAAAGUCCACAAAAUUACAAUCCAAAAUCUAAAUAGUUAAAAAUCAAAUAAAUUUUCAUGAUGUAAAAUUUUCUGAGAGGCUCCUCCAAGUGUUGAAUCCAAGUCCUAUGUUUGAGUGUUACUUGAGAGGUUGAAACACUAACGGGGUGAGCUUUUUAAGCCCAGUGUGAGAUUAACAUAAACUCAUUCACAAUAUAAAACAUAUAUGAUACAAAUUCAUAAAAUCACAUAUCUCAAUAUUUCAUAAGUAUAUCAUGCAUGAUAAUGUCAAUGCAUAAUUUGUAAAACAAUGAAGAUUUUAAGAAAAUGAUCCUACCAAUCACCGCUACACACCAUAAUCAAGUUUUCCUAUAAUUCGUCCAACCAACACACCAAUUGUGAACAAUGUCAUAGUAGCGUAGAUAAAAUACCAUAUAAAUAAAAUAGUGGACAAGCCAUCAGAGUCACAGAUAAACUGCCAUAUAAUCAAAUCGUGAACAGUGUCACAUUAAUGCAGAUAAACUGCCAUAUACUUCGAGCUUUCACAUAUACCACCCCAUGCAUGUGAUAUGGCCAAAACACUCGAAAUCAUGUAGGCAUGUUUAACAUGCAAAUCACAUACGUACUCAAGGUACCAAAACUUCACACUUAUCUUCAUAUGAAUAUCACAUAUGCCAUAUAAUCACAUAACCUAAGAAUAAGAUGUAUAUAUUUUUCACAUUAUUAGCAAACAUCAAUAUCACACAACAUACUUUUCACAAGAAUACGGUUUUGAAAAAAUACUUACUUGAUAAAAAUCCAUAAGGAUGACUUAUCUCACUUUAUAGAUACAUAUAGUAUCCCCAUCAAACAACAUUAUUUUAACAACAGUAUUUUUUAUCGAUUUAAUAAUAGUCUUAAUUUAUUUAAUGUUAAAACCCACACUUGAUCAUAAAUCUGAUGUGAAAUAAAUCUCUCAAAACACCCACUUGUGGUUCUACAAUUAGAUUACCCUUAAAAGAUAUCUCGGAUUAGCAAUUAAAACCUAACGAUUAACGGGUUUUCGGGUUGGUAUCGAUCAGCCCUUUUACACACAAGAUAUAUGAAACAUUAAUUAUUGAAGAAAUAAAUCACCAAGGCCCCCUAAAGUAAUCGACCAAUAGAAGAAAAAUAUAAAUGAGAAAAUAUUUAUACACAUCCUUUAUACUUACUCUCACACAAAUGGAACGGAGGACCAACGAAUCAAAUGGGUCACAAAUUGGAGGAGAAGGAAUGAUCUAAGAGGAGGAUUUAUUCAAAGACAAACCUAAGGAAUAAAUAAAGUUUCAAAUUAGGAUUUAAAUGAAAUGAUUAAAGAAGGAUUUUGAUUAUUAAAAUAAAAAUAAUGAACAUUCAAAAUAAGAAAAGAGAAAGGGAAAUGAUAUUCGCCGUCGACGGUGGUGCUACGGCGAUGACGGGGGCAACGAUCUAGCAAUAGAGGCAGCGGUUCGACGGAGGAGAAGGAAUGAACAAUGAUUCAGUCACUUUCUUAAUGGAGAAUAGAAUAGAAAGACAUAAAAGGAAAAAAAAUAAAUGAAUUAAUGGUGGUGCAUAGUGGUCGACACAGUGGAAGAGGGUAAUGUUCAGAGAGAAAAAUGAUAGGGGAGAGGUGAUGGGCAGUAGUUCGAUAGUGAAGUAUUGGUGGUGCACAACUAAGAAUGGUGGAGGAAAAAGUGAAAGAAAAUAAAUAGGGGAAGGUUAAG
rnacentral:lncRNA from 1 species